UCCCCGUUGCCGAGGCAGUCUGACUAGAUAUAUACAACUAGCCACGAGGGUUGCGCUCGUUGAAGGACUUAACCUAACAUCUCACGACACGAGCUGACGACAGCCAUGCAGCACCUGUUACCGAGUUCCUUGCGGCACAGUCUGGUUUCCCAGACCUUCUCGGAAUGUCAAACCCAGGUAAGGUUCUUCGCGUCGCGUCGAAUUAAACCACAUGCUCCGCUGCUUGUGCGGGUCCCCGUCAAUUCCUUUGAGUUUUAGCCUUGCGGCCGUACUCCCCAGGCGGGGUGCUUAAUGCGUUAGCUGCGGCACGGACGGAGUCGACACCGCCCACACCUAGCACCCAUCGUUUACGGCGUGGACUAC
rnacentral:misc_RNA from 1 species